rnacentral:rRNA from 1 species
UUUAAUUCGAAGCAACGCGAAGAACCUUACCAGGCCUUGACAUCCCUCUGACCGCUCUAGAGAUAGAGCUUUCCUUCGGGACAGAGGUGACAGGUGGUGCAUGGUUGUCGUCAGCUCGUGUCGUGAGAUGUUGGGUUAAGUCCCGCAACGAGCGCAACCCCUAUUGUUAGUUGCCAUCAUUCAGUUGGGCACUCUAGCGAGACUGCCGGUAAUAAACCGGAGGAAGGUGGGGAUGACGUCAAAUCAUCAUGCCCCUUAUGACCUGGGCUACACACGUGCUACAAUGGCUGGUACAACGAGUCGCAAGCCGGUGACGGCAAGCUAAUCUCUUAAAGCCAGUCUCAGUUCGGAUUGUAGGCUGCAACUCGCCUACAUGAAGUCGGAAUCGCUAGUAAUCGCGGAUCAGCACGCCG